GACUGGACGUUAAAUCACUGUUGAUAACAGGCCCCCCGAUGGGGAGUUUGGGACCACCGACUCUAAAGGCUGCUUCCAGUCUCCUCGCCCGAGGAGAUGCUACCGUGGAGCUGGGCUCUUCAAAAUGGCAGCUGUGGUCAAGUUCCAGAAAGAUCUGACGUCUUUUUAACCCAGUAGCAAAAUAUGGGGCUGUAUCCCUGCAGACCCAAAGGAGAAAAGUCCGAGGGCUCAGAUGGCCACGUGCUCCAACACCUCGUGCUUAAUCGGACCGUGGGCACCUCGGCUACCUACAGUAAGAGUUAGCGCAGCUCCUGGGUUCCGAGGUGAGGUGUCGGAAGGUGCAAACCACCGCGGUAAAUCGCGUCUUCAGGUGUUUUUUUGUUUUUUGUUUUUUUUAACCGACGCUACGAAGCCCUCGUUGCUCUGUUCGGAUAGGUGGGAAAACAGCGCUGGUCUGAACUUCUAAGUUCUGAGGUCCACUCUGCCUUGCGUCCACAGAGCUGCGGACCGUUUCAGCAGGCUACACUCUCCUAGCAGGCGGCCAUAACAAGGCUCCCUUGGCGCGAACUACAAGGAAACUCAAGAAACACUUAAAAACAGGAAAAAAAA
rnacentral:lncRNA from 1 species